CCUACGGGGGGCAGCAGUGGGGAAUAUUGUGCAAUGGGCGAAAGCCUGACGCAGCGACGCCGCGUGAGGGAUGAAGGUCUUCGGAUCGUAAACCUCUGUCAGCAGGGAAGAACGGUCACUGUGCUAAUCAGCAGUGAAUUGACGGUACCUGCAAAGGAAGCACCGGCUAACUCCGUGCCAGCAGCUGCGGUAAUACGGAGGGUGCGAGCGUUAAUCGGAAUUACUGGGCGUAAAGGGCUCGUAGGCGGUAUGUCAAGUCAAGGGUGAAAUCCCCGGGCUCAACGUGGGAACUGCCUUUGAAACUGGCAGACUGGAGUGUGUGAGAGGAUGGUGGAAUUCCAGGUGUAGGGGUGAAAUCCGUAGAUAUCUGGAAGAACAUCAGUGGCGAAGGCGGCUAUCUGGCACAUAACUGACGCUGAGGAGCGAAAGCGUGGGUAGCAAACAGGAUUAGAUACCCGUGUAGUC
rnacentral:rRNA from 1 species